GAGGUGCAGCUGGUGGAGUCUGGGGGAGGCUUGGUACAGCCUGGGGGGUCCCUGAGACUCUCCUGUGCAGCCUCUGGAUUCACCUUCAGUUACUACUACAUGAGCGGGGUCCGCCAGGCUCCCGGGAAGGGGCUGGAAUGGGUAGGUUUCAUUAGAAACAAAGCUAAUGGUGGGACAACAGAAUAGACCACGUCUGUGAAAGGCAGAUUCACAAUCUCAAGAGAUGAUUCCAAAAGCAUCACCUAUCUGCAAAUGAAGAGCCUGAAAACCGAGGACACGGCCGUGUAUUACUGUGGUAUUAUGAUUACGUUUGGGGGAGUUAUCGUUAUACCGGAACGUACUACUUUGACUACUGGGGCCAGGGAACCCUGGUCACCGUCUCCUCA
rnacentral:lncRNA from 1 species